CCUACGGGGGGCAGCAGUGGGGAAUAUUGGACAAUGGGCGAAAGCCUGAUCCAGCCAUGCCGCGUGUGUGAAGAAGGCCUUCGGGUUGUAAAGCACUUUCAGUGGGGAAGAAAGCCUUGGGGCUAAUACCCUCGAGGAAGGACAUCACCCACAGAAGAAGCACCGGCUAACUCCGUGCCAGCAGCCGCGGUAAUACGGAGGGUGCGAGCGUUAAUCGGAAUUACUGGGCGUAAAGCGCGCGUAGGCGGUCUGAUAAGCCGGUUGUGAAAGCCCCGGGCUCAACCUGGGAGCGGCAUCCGGAACUGUCAGGCUAGAGUGCAGGAGAGGAGGGUAGAAUUCCCGGUGUAGCGGUGAAAUGCGUAGAGAUCGGGAGGAAUACCAGUGGCGAAGGCGGCCUUCUGGACUGACACUGACGCUGAGGUGCGAAAGCGUGGGUAGCAAACAGGAUUAGAUACCCGUGUAGUC
rnacentral:rRNA from 1 species